rnacentral:lncRNA from 1 species
ACAGACUGGAGAGAGCAUGCAUUCAGACCAGCCUGGUAUUUGGAACUAACAGCAAAGAAAAACUUCCAUCAGAAAUCCUACACCAAUUAACACUCCUUCAUGCUAGAGUGAAUCCAGGAGCAGUGGGUGUCACAUUUUCCCAAAGUGGAGCCUAAGCCAACCUUUCUGCAUUUAACAAGUUAAUGAACAGCUUGUGGGUAACACUUUGCCCACUCUGGCCCAAUUUAGAAGGCUGCCAAAAGGAUAAGAUGUCAAUAUGCCACUCUCUGCUUGGCCAGGGUGCCAGCCGCAUCCUGCCUAAGUGCCUCUGCCCUCAGCCACUGGAGAGCAUGAUGUCCUUAGAGAAGUCGGCACCAGUAGGAUGAGGCUGCAGCGCGGGCCUGGCCUUUCCCCAAGCGGAAGAGAGCCUUGUCUCGGAUCCUGUGAGAGAAGUGAGUGGGACGUGGUAUUCUGAGCAGCCCAGGUUUGGCUUUGGGCCAGGCACUGAGUGGCAAACAAGAAGGAACACAUUCCGGGAAGGCGAGGAGCCCUGCCAGCGCGAAGGAGGACCAGCCAGCAGGGCCUGCUGGGCGCCAGGUGCUCCUUGGCUCUGUGGAGGUAUCAGACAGACCCCCUUGGCCUGGUCCCUGCACUGUCCCAGGCCCACCUUGGACACCUCCAUUACACUCAUGGAGAACAGAGCCCGUGGAGUGGAGGACCCUCCUGCAUGGCCUGCAGGUGACAUGGUGAGCUCUGCCCUGUGGUGGCCCAGCACCAUCGUGCCCAGUGCCCAGCCAAGCUCGACAGGCUGCCAUUGGCCACACCCAAAAUCCAGGCAGUCAGGCAGAGAGUACAAAGCAAGACCUCAGAUCAAAGCCACUGCCCUUCCCAUCCCCCACUUCCCACCUGGAGCACCUUGGAAAUGUUUGAGCACACCAGGGAAAGAUCCAGUACCUGGUCUGCGACCACAGUGAUCAAAAGGCCCUGCUCCACCUGUCUCACCAGGAAAAAGCAGCUGAGGACACAGAAUGCUGGACCUCUAUUCUUCACAGCCGCUGCCACAGUCCCCUGCUGCAGGUAGUGUCCUCUCAGAUUCAGCCAGCCUCCUCAUGAGGGGCCAGAACAGAGCCUCUGCACAGAGCGUGAACACUCCUCUUGCUGGAAUCCUGGCCACAGGCCCUCCCUCCUCUCCUCAUUCAUAGCUUACCUCACUCCCUCCAGUCUGCCCUGCAUGGGUCCCUGGCUGACUGCAGAGAAGUCCUUUGGGCCCCAAAACAGGGACUCUCAGGCGUCCAAGUGAGAGCACAGUAUGCUGGGAGAGAGCAGAGCCCACACUGGUGGUUUGGGUUCUGGCCUCUGUCCCACCACUGGAGUGAGCCAAGUGACAGGUAUCAAAGCAUGGCCUUUGUCCCUUGCAGUGACCCCAAGUGCUCUUCCUGUGUGUCAGAGCUGUUUCCAAGGAACAAGUUAAAAAUUUUUUUUCAUUUAAGUGGUUGCUGAGGCUUAGUGUAGAGAAUUCC